GACGAACGCUGGCGGCGUGCUUAACACAUGCAAGUCGAACGGAAAGGCCCUGCUUUUGUGGGGUGCACGAGUGGCGAAGGGGGGAGUAACACGUGAGUAACCUGCACUUGACUUUGGGGUAACUUCAGGAAACUGGGGCUAAUACCGGAUAGGAGCUCCUGCUGCAUGGUGGGGGAUGGAAAGUUUCGGCGGUUGGGUAUGGACUCGCGGCUUAUCAGCUUGUUGGUGGGGUAGUGGCUUACCAAGGCUUUGACGGGUAGCCGGCCUGAGAGGGUGACCGGCCACAUUGGGCCUGAGCUACGGCCCAGACUCCUACGUGAGGCAGCAGUGGGGAAUAUUGCACAAUGGGCGGAAGCGUGAUGCAGCAACGCCGCGUGCGGGAUGACCGCCUUCGGGUUGUAAACCGCUUUCGCCUGUGACGAAGCGUGAGUGACGGUAAUGGGUAAAGAAGCACCGGCUAACUACGUG
rnacentral:rRNA from 1 species